AAAAACAUAGCUUUUAGAACCCAUGUGAAGUGAUGCCUGCCCGGUGAUUUUUUAACGGCCGCGAAAGUGCUAAGGUAGCAUAAUAAUUUGUCUUUUCAUUGAAGACUAGUAUGAAUGGCGAAACGAAGCUCAACUGCCUCAAAAAAAAAAACGAAAAUUGAUAAAAAAGUGAAAACUCUUUUUUUAAAAAGGAGGACGAGAAGACCCUAUAGAGUUUUAGUAUUAAAAAUAUUAAUAUAUUUAAUUACUUUUAUUGGGGCAAUAAAAGAACAAAAAAAAUCUUUUUUAUUUUUCCUAAAAUAGAAAUAAAACUACCUUAGGGAUAACAGCGUAAUCUUGCCAAAGAGAACUAAUCGAAGGCAAGGAUUGCGACCUCGAUGUUGGACUAAGGUAUCAAAUAUGUGUAGAAGCAUAUUAAGUAAGCCUGUUCGGCUUUUAAAACCU
rnacentral:rRNA from 1 species